UGGCUCAGAACGAACGCUGGCGGCGUGCCUAAUGCAUGCAAGUCGUACGCAGAGUGCUUGCACUCUGAGUGGCGCACGGCUGAGGAACACGUGGGAAUCUGCCCGUCCGUGGGGGAUAACGCCCCGAAAGGGGUGCUAAUACCGGAUAAGCUCCCGGACUACAGAGGUCUGAGAGAAAAGGGGUAACUCGCUGAAAGAGGGGGCUGCGGCCCAUCAGGUAGUUGGUGUGGUAACGGCGCACCAAGCCGAGGACGGGUAGGGGACCUGAGAGGGUGAUCCCCCACACUGGGACUGAGACACGGCCCAGAGUCCUACGGGAGGCAGC
rnacentral:rRNA from 1 species